CAUUAUUUUAUUUUUUUAAAUAUAUAUUUUUAAAGGACACAUCGUGCCUGUGCAGUUAAUACACAUGGUGUUCUGUGUUCCCUUGGUAGUGCUAUUUACACCACCCUGAGCAGUUAAUACACAUGGUGUUCCCUUGGUAGUGCUAGUUACACCACCCUGUGCAGUUAAUACACAUGGUGUUCCCUUGGUAGUGCUAGUUACACCACCCUGAGCAGUUAAUACACAUGGUGUCCCUUGGUAGUGCUAAUUACACCACCCUGAGCAGUUAAUACACAUGGUGUUCCCUUGGUAGUGCUAGUUACACCACCCUGUGCAGUUAAUACACAUGGUGUUCCCUUGGUAGUGCUAUUUACACCACCCUGAGCAGUUAAUACACAUGGUGUCCCUUGGUAGUGCUAGUUACACCACCCUGAGCAGUUAAUACACAUGGUGUUCCCUUGGUAGUGCUAGUUACACCACCCUGAGCAGUUAAUACACAUGGUGUUCUGUGUUCCCUUGGUAGUGCUAUUUACACCACCCUGUGCAGUUAAUACACAUGGUUAGAGGAAGUAUGGAGGUCAUAAUGCUCCCCAGACCUGGUUGUUGACAUGAUAAGAGGAAGUAUGGAGGUCAUAAUGCUCCCCAGACCUGGUUGUUGACAUGAUUAGAGGAAGUAUAGAGGUCGUAGUGCUCCCCAGACCUGGUUGUUGACAUGAUUAGAGGAAGUAUGGAGGUCGUAAUGCUCCCCAGACCUGGUUAUUGACAUGAUUAGAGGAAGUAUGGAGGUCGUAGUGCUCCCCAGACCUGGUUGUUGAGGUUGUUGACAUGAUUAGAGGAAGUAUGGAGGUCGUAGUGCUCCCCAGACCUGGUUGUUGAGGUUGUUGACAUGAUUAGAGGAAGUAUGGAGGUCGUAAUGCUCCCCAGACCUGGUUGUUGACAUGAUUAGAGGAAGUAUGGAGGUCGUAGUGCUCCCCAGACCUGGUUGUUGAGGUUGUUGACAUGAUUAGAGGAAGUAUGGAGGUCGUAAUGCUCCCCAGACCUGGUUGUUGACAUGAUUAGAGGAAGUAUGGAGGUCGUAGUGCUCCCCAGACCUGGUUGUUGAGGUUGUUGACAUGAUUAGAGGAAGUAUGGAGGUCAUAAUGCUCCCCAGACCUGGUUGUUGACAUGAUUAGAGGAAGUAUGGAGGUCGUAGUGCUCCCCAGACCUGGUUGUUGACAUGAUUAGAGGAAGUAUGGAGGUCGUAAUGCUCCCCAGACCUGGUUGUUGACAUGAUAAGAGGAAGUAUGGAGGUCAUAAUGCUCCCCAGACCUGGUUGUUGACAUGAUUAGAGGAAGUAUGGAGGUCGUAAUGCUCCCCAGACCUGGUUGUUGACAUGAUUAGAGGAAGUAUGGAGGUCGUAGCGCUCCCCUGACCUGGUUGUUGAGGUUGUUGACAUGAUAAGAGGAAGUAUGGAGGUCAUAAUGCUCCCCAGACCUGGUUGUUGACAUGAUUAGAGGAAGUAUGGAGGUCGUAGUGCUCCCCAGACCUGGUUGUUGACAUGAUUAGAGGAAGUAUGGAGGUACACAAUAAUAAACUAGGAAGUCAUGAAGAGAGGGGGGAGGAAGACCGGAUUUGAGAUUCAAACAGAAAGAGA